rnacentral:lncRNA from 1 species
ACGUUGAAAGUCCAGGCAAUAACAACAAUGAUGGUGCUGACUAUCCAGCAGUUGAAGAUAAACCUGAAGAACUAACAGUUGAAGAAAAACAUGAAGAACAAGCAAUUGAAGAGAAACCUGAAGAACCAGUGGCCACAGAGAAACCUGAAGAACCAGCGAUUAAGGAAAAAGCUGAUGAACCAGCAGUGCAAGAGAAACCUGAAGAACCAGCUGUGGAAAAGAAACCUGAAGAACCAGCAGUCGAGGAGAAACUUGACGAACCACCAGUUGAAGAGAAAUCAGAAGAACCAGUAGUUGAACAAACACCUGCAGGACCAGCAUGGGAAGAAACAUCUAAAGAACUAGCAUUUGAAGAGAAACCUGAAGAACCAGCAGUUGAAAAAACACCUGAAGAACUAGCAGUUGGAAAGAACCCUGAAAAAACAGCAGUCGGAGAGAAACAUGAAAAAGUAACUCUCUUGGAAAAGGUGAGGAUCAAGCACAAUCACAAAUUUUAUCCAUCCUAUUAGUUAUGUAUGCGCAACAAUUCACAUUUGCCUGUUGGAAGAUUAAGUUAAACUUUAAAUUCUUCUUGCAGAAUAUACCAAUUAUAGAGUUAAACGAGAAGAAUAACAGUGCAACUCCAUGCAAUACCAACAAUGAUGUUGCUGACUAUCCAGCAGUUGAGGAAAAACCUGAAGAACCAGCGAUUGAGAAAAAACCUGAAGAACCAAUGGCUAAGGAGAAACUUGAAGAACCAAUUGUUGAGGAUAAACCUGAAAAAUCAGUGAUAGAGGAGAAAUCUGAAAAACUAGCAACUGAAGAAACACUUGGAGAGCAAGCAGGGGAGGAAACACCUGAAGCACUAGCAGUUGAAGAGAAACCUGACAAAUCAACAGUUGAAGAGACAGUUGAAGAACUAGCUAUUGAACAGAAACCUAAAAAAACAGCAGUUGAAAAAGAGAAACCUGAAGCCGUAACUCUCCUGGAAAAGGUGAUCAAGCACUGUCACAGAGAUUCCUUGCUCUAUACGUGCAAGGAAUUUACAUCUACUUAUCUACUGAAAGAUUUAGUGAAACUUUAAAUUCUUCUUGCAGAAUAUGCCAGUUGUAGAUUCAAAGGACAAGAUUAACAGUGAAAUUCCAUGCAAUGCCAACAAUGAUGUUUUUGACUAUCCAGCAGUUGAGGCAAAACCUGAAGAACUAGCAAUUGAAAAAAAAUAUGAAGAACCAGUAGUUAUAUUGGAGAAACCUGCAGAACUAGCAGUUGAGGAGACACCUGAAAAAUCAGUAGUUGAAGAGAAGCCUGAAAAACCAGCAGCACGGGAAGAAGCACUUGAAGAACCAGCAUGGGAAGAAACACCUGAAGAACCAACAGUUGAAGAGAAACUUGAUAAACCAGCAACUGAAAAAGAGAAACCUGAAAAGGUAACUUUCCGCGAAAAGGUGAGGAUCAAGCACUAUCACAAAGUUCGCCCAUCCUAAUAGUCUUGUAUGUGCAAGGAAUUCACAUAUGCUUUUUUAUUGAAAGACUAAGUGAAACCUUCAAUUCUUCUUGCAGAAUAUGCCUGUUGUAGACUCAAAUGGUAAGACUGGCAGUAAAAUUACAUGCACUACCAAAAAAGAUGUUGCUGAUAAUCCAGCAGUUGAGGAUGAAGAACCAGCAGUUGAGGAUAAACCUGAUGAACCAACAGUUGAAGAAAAACCUGAAGAACCAGCAAUUGAAGGAAAACUUGAGAAACUGGCAGUUGAAGAUAAACUUGAGGAACCAGCUUUUGAACAGAACCCUGAGGAAACAGCAGUUGAACAGAACCCCGAGGAACCGCCAGUUGAAGAAAAACCUGAGGUACCAGUAGUUGACGAAAAAGCUGAAGAACUAGUGGUUGAAGAGAAACUUGAAGAACCAUCAGUUAAAGAAAAGCCGGAAGAACAAAGCAGGGAAGAAACCGAAGCUCCCAUAAAAGAGGCAAAGCAUAACCAGAAUGCAAAUGAAGCAAGCAGCAGUCUGCCAACAGCUAUGCUAAGCCAUCCGCCUGCUCAAGGG